rnacentral:rRNA from 1 species
UAGGGAAUCUUUCGCAAUGGGCGAAAGCCUGACGGAGCAACGCCGCGUGAGUGAUGAAGGUCCUCGGAUCGUAAAACUCUGUUAUUAGGGAAGAACAAAUGUGUAAGUAACUAUGCACGUCUUGACGGUACCUAAUCAGAAAGCCACGGCUAACUACGUGCCAGCAGCCGCGGUAAUACGUAGGUGGCAAGCGUUAUCCGGAAUUAUUGGGCGUAAAGCGCGCGUAGGCGGUUUUUUAAGUCUGAUGUGAAAGCCCACGGCUCAACCGUGGAGGGUCAUUGGAAACGGGAAAACUUGAGUGCAGAAGAGGAAAGUGGAAUUCCAUGUGUAGCGGUGAAAUGCGCAGAGAUAUGGAGGAACACCAGUGGCGAAGGCGACUUUCUGGUCUGUAACUGACGCUGAUGUGCGAAAGCGUGGGGAUAAAACAGG